rnacentral:rRNA from 1 species
UACGUAGGGUGCAAGCGUUAAUCGGAAUUACUGGGCGUAAAGCGUGCGCAGGCGGUGAUGUAAGACAGGUGUGAAAUCCCCGGGCUUAACCUGGGAACUGCAUUUGUGACUGCAUCGCUGGAGUGCGGCAGAGGGGGAUGGAAUUCCGCGUGUAGCAGUGAAAUGCGUAGAUAUGCGGAGGAACACCGAUGGCGAAGGCAGCCCCCUGGGCCAACACUGACGCUCAGGCACGAAAGCGUGGGGAGCAAACAGG